AUGGAUAUAAUUGUUUAAUCUUUUACUGCACCUUAAGCAACCGAAAAGUGAGGACGAUGAAAACAGUUAUAUAAACAAAUAAAUGUAAUUGAACAAGUUCAUACAUAUAUGUUGCUCAUUUGUUUCAGCAUUUUUGCUUUGGCUCAUCUGAUUGAAAUGUUCUUCCAUAACAGGUUCCAACUUAGUUUUUUCCAGCACCUUAUAAAAAAUUGAUUCCGUCUUGCACAAAUUACAAGGUAAAGGAAGAACCCAGAAGCGAUAUGUUCACUGUUCAGCAGCUAAUAGACGGGGGAAAUGGUGAAGAUGGCAAUGCUGAAAAUGAAGUUUCUCAGACACCAAGAAGUAAUCUUUUCGGCUUCUCAGCCUCGCUUGAUGAUGAGUGUUCUCAUGGAGAUGACUAGCGGAGUGUUCUCAUGGAAAAUUUCAAAUUAAAGGUUGCAAUCAAAUCCUUAACAACUUUUAUGCUUUUUUUUCCUCCCUAAUUGGGAGUAGCUGAGCACGGAACCGUUAAUUUGGGUUACAUUUGGGGAGACUAUAUAUGUUUAGGUGUCGAUUCUAGACUAACCUGUGUCGUGACUAAACGUACCACCAGCUUAACGUACAACAAGUUCUUUCGAUUAAGUCGGGAUGUGGGCCUCACCAUGGCUAGUCUAAGGUCGGGUUGGGAAGAAAUGUUUUGAUGGCUAUAAGUGAUUAAGUCUAAACUUAUAUCUUAUUACCUCAAGAAUAUAUACAUUGGUUUUUGACUCCACUCUAACAGUUUUCAGAUUUUCUGAGGAAGCUCAGAGGGUAGAGACUGCCGCUCGUCUAGCGUACCAGCUUUCCAGUGUUGGUGGCUCGAUGUUUAGCCUCAUGGUGGGUUGAGACACUACUAGUCUCAACCCACAAAUGUUUUGAGUGAGGUGCUGUAAAUUGAUUACUAUUGGCGCUCAAGCAAUGACCGUAGACACAAGUAAAAAAUAGUAAGCAUCAAUAACUUCAGUUCAGAGAAGAAUAUAUUACUUUUGUUGUUUUCUUAUAAAUAUAUGAUAAUAAUUAUGUUAUGAGUAAUUAUUUAUGCAGCAUAAACCUUGGUUACUUGACUGAUUACGAUCACAUGGAAGUGGG
rnacentral:sRNA from 1 species